AUGACUCUAGACAUUUCAUGUGUUCUCUCAAUGACAUAUCUGCAUUUCCUUUUUGAAAAUCAUCUGCAAAUUCUGAAGAAACUAGUGAGAAAUGCCAAAAAUCCCAUCAGUCAAGUCGCAAAGAGACUUUGUGAACAAGAGAGGGCAGAAAGCCACAGAAACAAGGUGUCAAACAAAAGUUGGCAUUUUGUUUCGGAAAAGAAGAGAAAUGGAUGCUUCCUCUUGCACAAUGAAGACUUUGCCUUUGUUAAAGAGAAAAACGUGAUGAUGGCAAUUUGUUAUGUGAUGUCAUUUCCCAAAAAAACAUGGAAAGCUUUUUUACUGUGCCUUGUGACUCCAAGCUUAUUAACGUUGUAUAUAUUAGAAACAUGGAGAGAGUCCAGAAACGUCGCAGGCUUCUUGAUGUUGAUGAAAUUCACCGUAAAGUGGCUUGUCUACCCUUCAAAACAGGAUAUGUACUUAUGCCUUUAUUGCACAGCAUGGAGCGAAAAGACUAAAAAAGGGAUGGCUUGGGUAAGGGCAGUGUGGCAAGAGAAGACAAGGCAAGAGGAAGGGACGGUGCCGGACAGCUGGGUGGACCCAAAGAACAUGUUAUUGUACUGGCCAAAUGUUGCAAAUGCAACAAGAUAUUUGAAGGAACGACGGCCACCAUCUGAUAGUUGGAGAAAGUUUCCACUUGUGAAAGAGAAGAUGAGAUCUGAUUACUUUAAAGAGUGUGACAACUGUGAACUCACAAGUAGUACAGAAGCUGAAGAAGGUUCACUGGAAGCAAAAAGAAGAAAAAUAUCGAAGAAAUUUGAAGACUGCUUGACAGAUCAUAGUUGUGACACUGAUCCACAAUUCGAAGAAGAAGAUAACCUUGGAAAUCGUCAGCUUCCUAACAGUAAUGAAGAGCUAGAACUUCCUGUUGCUCCAAGGAAGGUGUGCAAGCUCUCCAAUGCAAGCUCUACAUCUUCUGUUUCAUCCAGGGGAUCAAGCUCUGGCUCUCCAUUGCCACUUCAAAAAAAGCAGACUUCAACAGCACAGGCCCCUGUGCAAACUAAGGAGGCCACAUCAAAAAACCAGACCAGACAACAUUCUGAUGGAGAACCGUCUUCACAAGAAAUCAGACAAUCUGGGUCACCUGUUGAUCGACAGUCCAGCAGCUCCAAACAAGAUGAAAAACGCUCCCCAUACCCAAUGCAAGAAGCAAAAUUCCAGAGAAAAGUAAUGGAGAUGCUUGUUGAAAUCCGUGAAGACAUCCGCACAUUAAAAGAAAAAGUGUGGGGGGAUGCAGGAAAUGCAUACUGUCUCAAAGAUUCCUGCCCAGUCCUCAACUGUUGA
ensembl:lncRNA